AACGAACGCUGGCGGCAUGCCUAACACAUGCAAGUCGAACGAGAUCUUCGGAUCUAGUGGCGCACGGGUGCGUAACGCGUGGGAAUCUGCCCCUUGCUUCGGAAUAACAGUGAGAAAUUACUGCUAAUACCGGAUGAUGUCUUCGGACCAAAGAUUUAUCGGCAAGGGAUGAGCCCGCGUAGGAUUAGGUAGUUGGUGGGGUAAUGGCCUACCAAGCCGACGAUCCUUAGCUGGUCUGAGAGGAUGAUCAGCCACACUGGGACUGAGACACGGCCCAGACUCCUACGGGAGGCAGCAGUGGGGAAUAUUGGACAAUGGGCGAAAGCCUGAUCCAGCAAUGCCGCGUGAGUGAUGAAGGCCUUAGGGUUGUAUAGCUCUUUUACCAGGGAUGAUAAUGACAGUACCUGGAGAAUAAGCUCCGGCUAACUCCGUG
rnacentral:rRNA from 1 species